GACGGAGGAUGCAAAUGUUAUCCGGAAUCACUGGGCGUAAAGCGUCUGUAGGUGGUUUAAUAAGUCAACUGUUAAAUCUUGAGGCUCAACCUCAAAAUCGCAGUCGAAACUAUUAGGCUAGAGUAUAGUAGGGGUAAAGGGAAUUUCCAGUGGAGCGGUGAAAUGCGUAGAGAUUGGAAAGAACACCGAUGGCGAAGGCACUUUACUGGGCUAUUACUAACACUCAGAGACGAAAGCUAGGGUAGCAAAUGGG
rnacentral:rRNA from 1 species